rnacentral:rRNA from 1 species
GACGAACGCUGGCGGCGUGCUUAACACAUGCAAGUCGAACGGAAAGGCCCUGCUUUUGUGGGGUGUUCGAGUGGCGAACGGGUGAGUAACACGUGAGUAACCUGCCCUUGACUUUGGGAUAACUUCAGGAAACUGGGGCUAAUACCGGAUAGGAGCUCCUGCUGCAUGGUGGGGGUUGGAAAGUUUCGGCGGUUGGGGAUGGACUCGCGGCUUAUCAGCUUGUUGGUGGGGUAGUGGCUUACCAAGGCUUUGACGGGUAGCCGGCCUGAGAGGGUGACCGGCCACAUUGGGGCUGAGAUACGGCCCAGACUCCUACGGGAGGCAGCAGUGGGGAAUAUUGCACAAUGGGCGGAAGCCUGAUGCAGCAACGCCGCGUGCGGGAUGACGGCCUUCGGGUUGUAAACCGCUUUCGCCUGUGACGAAGCGUGAGUGACGGUAAUGGGUAAAGAAGCACCGGCUAACUACGUG